AUUGAACGCUGGCGGCAGGCCUAACACAUGCAAGUCGAACGAGGGGCGGACGGGUGUGUAAUGUCUGGGAAACUGCCUGAUGGAGGGGGAUAACUACUGGAAACGGUAGCUAAUACCGCAUACCAUCAGAUGUGCCAAGAUGGGAUUAGCUGGUUGGGGGGGUAACGGCUCAACAAGGCGACAAUCCCUAGCUGGUCUGAGAGGAUGACCAGCCACACUGGAACUGAGACACGGUCCAUACUCCUACGGGAGGCAGCAGUGGGGAAUAUGGCAAAAUGGGCGCAAGCCUGAUGCAGCCAUGCCGCGUGUAUGAAGAAGGCCUUCGGGUUGUAAAGCACUUUCAGCGGGGAGGCGUUACCCGCAGAAGAAGCCCCGGCUAACUCCGUGCCAGCAGCCGCGGUAAUAC
rnacentral:rRNA from 1 species